rnacentral:lncRNA from 1 species
UAAUAUAUAACUUCGAAAGAUGGAAACAAUUGAUGGCCUGAUGGGAGUAAGGGGUCCAUUAAUAAUGAACAUGAAACCGAAUACACAGUUAACUUCGAAUCAAACUCAUUUGCUGAUGUUUCGGAAAAAUCUUGGAUUUAUCUCGGACACUCCCGCAAUAAUUGAGGUGGUGACAAAACUCAGUUUUGUCGUUAUGUUUCCUAUGUUUCUCGUAAUUAUUGGGAAGCUAUGUAUACAUAAAUACACACACUGACACACCUAAAGACGGCACCACCAUUUCUCUCGGGUCGAUCAUAUUUAUUGUAACAGGGCAAAAGACAAAAGACAGUUUAAACUUUUUAAAGGACGGUUUAAACUUUUUC